UAAACGGUCCUUUUCAGGACCACCGA
rfam:Aedes albopictus isolate Foshan contig183476, whole genome shotgun sequence.